UGGCGGAUCCAGGGGGCGGGGUUCCGGGGGAUGGACCCCCUUUUUUUGGACGAUCAGUGCAUUUGGAUGGGGACAUGUAGUUGGAACCCCCUCCCCUUUUGUCCAGGGUUAGGACCCCCCUUUUUAAAAUGGCUGGACCCGCCCCUGCCGCUUUCAUAACACUUCUUUUUAGCAUACUGAAUAUUAUGAUGUUCUUACUAUUAGUUCAGGUCCUGAUAAAAAAAAAUACACAUUCAGUACAGAAAGAAGUGUUUCAAUGAAAGUUUCGUGUUUUUCUAGGCAGAAAUGAUUUUGCAAUGACAUUAUACAGGUUUAAAAGAGCUCAAAUGAUUUUCUUACUGGACAGUGGUCACUUCAUUGGAUAUUUCACUGUGUCAUGUCGUGAAAUUAAUGCAGGUUCAAUUCAUAACAAUGCACAAAACCGGUUCAACUACUUUUGCA
rnacentral:lncRNA from 1 species